rnacentral:rRNA from 1 species
GAUGAACGCUGGCGGCGUGCUUAACACAUGCAAGUCGAACGGGAUCCAUCAGGCUUUGCUUGGUGGUGAGAGUGGCGAACGGGUGAGUAAUGCGUGACCGACCUGCCCCAUACACCGGAAUAGCUCCUGGAAACGGGUGGUAAUGCCGGAUGCUCCGACUCCUCGCAUGGGGUGUCGGGAAAGAUUUCAUCGGUAUGGGAUGGGGUCGCGUCCUAUCAGGUAGUCGGCGGGGUAACGGCCCACCGAGCCUACGGCGGGUAGCCGGCCUGAGAGGGCGACCGGCCACAUUGGGACUGAGAUACGGCCCAGACUCCUACGGGAGGCAGCAGUGGGGAAUAUUGCACAAUGGGCGCAAGCCUGAUGCAGCGACGCCGCGUGCGGGAUGACGGCCUUCGGGUUGUAAACCGCUUUUGAUCGGGAGCAAGCCUUCGGGUGAGU